UUGGGCUUUCCUUCCUGCCAGGACAUUUCCAGGAAAUGCACCACUGUUUCUUGCUUGUGUUAGAAACGUGUGAAAGAAUUAGUCUGAAAAGUCUUUGCAACGUCUAGUUUCUCCCUCUCCUUUUCUUCUCUCUCUCUUCGUCUCUCUCCCUCCCCUUCCCUCCUCCCUCCCACUCCCCCUCCCUCCCCUCGCAGAGCCGCAGGAAAAGAAGAAUGUCGGCUUCGACUGCCAUCUUUUGGGGAUUUGGAAAAACGACUCGCUUGGGCCAAGACCUUGCACGAAUAGGCUGAGGCUUCAGGCAAUAGGAGCAUUGCGGACUGAGUCGUGUCCUCCCAUAUCCGCACAUGAAGUUGACAAGAGACUCUCCAUGGCAUCAAGCUGUAUGUUUCUGUUCUGGGUUCAAAAGCGGGGCCCUGUCCUGCUUACUCUACCUGCUUACUCUGCCUGUAACUCUGCCUAUGUCUUCUCCCUGAGAAAACAAGUUCAGCCCAAACUUCCGUGUAAAGCUCAGAUGGAAUUCCUAAAAAACUGAGAAGAAACUGGAGGUCCAGCUUGCAUAGCAAUGUAGCCAGACCUCAGCCUCAUCACAUUAUGGAUUGCAUUCUUACCCAAAUACUCUUCGUGAUUGCCUGCUUUGCGGCUUUGGGGUAAGUCCCAGUUUUCCACAACCUUAAGGAAAAAAAAAAUGCAUAACAUAAAAGAUGCCAAAAAGACUUAUGUGUCCUGAUGUGCGGGUUUUGUGAAAUAUACAUGGGUUUGUUUUUUUUUUUGGGGGGGGGGUGGCGGGAACGAUGUUGGUAAUGAAAUAAAGAGAAGGGGUUUGUUUCUGCAAGGAUCAAGAGUGUGUGAAAGUGUGCAUUGCAAACGAGGCUCCCAUCAAGAAAGCCACCUCUGGAAUGGAAAUGACAAAGCUUGGAACACACACAAUCAAUUAUUUUCACUAGCAUUUAAAAUAUAGAAAACAAAAUCUGCUUUGGGAAUUGACUGAAUAUUUUAUUUAGCUUUUUUAUUGAGACAUCCUUUGAAAAAUGGCAUAAUAUAAAUAGUUUUACAAAGCAACAAUAUAAUCAAUCUCUAAACUAGAAUAUAAAUCAAGGAUUUCAUUAACUGCUAGUAGCCAGUUUAAAUUGUAGUCUUGUCCAUAAUGUCUAUCUAUCUAUGUAUGUCCAAGUUAUAUUAAAAACCUUUAAAUGGCUUUGUAAUAUCAGCUACAUCUAGCUAUUAUAAUAAUUAAUGGUACUGUUUUAUAAAUCAAUACAUGUAUUCUUGAUAAAUUCAUAUCCAGUUAAUGGUGUAAUUUAAAUAAAAAAUUAAUGUAAUAAAGGACAUACAGAAACAGGCAGGAAAUCUUUAAAGGUUAAGAGACAGAUUUGUCUAAAUUCAUUUUUAAGCCGUUUUGAAAAAGUUUAUACUUAAAAUCAGCUGAGAUUUACCUUGUUUCUGUAAAACUAAUUUUGCUGUGUCUGUUGGUAUCCAGUAAUGAAUCUGUGAAUUAUUUUCUUUUUUAACUGUUAAGUUUUAAUUACAUACUUAUGAUACUAUGAGAUAUGUUACUACCGUUAUACUCUUUUGCAAUUAUUGAAUAUUCUUUAAAAAAAUAGAACAAAACUAAAAAUCUCAAGCCAGUAAUUUAUUUUUAAUACAUGAAUGAAAUGUAAAUGCUCUCUCUCUAUUUUUUAUAUCUAUAAGCGAACGGUUCUGAGAAUCUCCAAAGCUAUAUACAAAUUUUAUUUAAGGUGAAAAAGGACUGAUUAGCUCAAUAAAUUUGCACGCGCAAAAGCGCAGCGUUUUUACUGCUUUCACUGAAUGAACAUCCUAGGAAUUUGAGAAAGAAAAGAAAAAUGCUUUGAAGAGUCUGAAAUGUAUUUUAACGCUGCACACGGGUGGAGAAACAUGUUACAAAGAGAAGAGUGUAUUAUUGUUCUGAUUUAAAAAAUACAUACCAAAGGCAUCUUAAGGAAUAACAGGAUCUAGAAAAACAACUGGAUGUUGUAUGUUAUCAAAUACAAUCUAAAAUCUUUCCAAAUAAAAUUUCAUUUGGUUUAUAGAGUAAGCAUUUUACACAAGAUAUCUUUCAGAAUUAUGCAGACCAGUCUGCCCUGCCAUUCUCCGUGACAUGGUGCAGAAAUGUUACUUUAAUCCACUGAGCUUUUUCUGACAUUUUUCUUAACAUUGCUGAGCCUUAUUUAGAGCAGCAAAGGAGACGUGUGCAGUUUCCUUUGACACUGAUGGGUGUUUCAAAAUGUUACGAGAGAGAGAGAGAGAGAGAGAGAGAGAAAGACAGAGACAGAGACAGAGUCGGAGAGAGAGCGCGAGAGAGAAAAGAUUUGCUGCCAGUCACUUUAUCAAUAGAGCUACAGGAGCAAUUACUAUUUGUUAAAAGUUUACAUUUCAAAUGAAGCUAAAUUUUAAAGAAGGCUCAUCCUUUUAAAAGCCUGCUGCUUGGAAGAGGGGGGAAGAGAAUGCACGGUAGUGAUCACAUGUUAAAGUGCGCUCAAGUACUGGAACCAUUUAAAAUGUAUUGUGUUUUUAGACGAAGCCUACAGCAAAACCACUCCUAAGAGGCUUAAUUUAGGUUUUAUAGGAGGAACAUAAAAAAGACCAGGUUACAGCAACACGCUGAAAUAUGGGGUACAUUUUAAAUAUCUUCAUUUAGAAACGUAUGUUUAUUUUCCCUCCUGGGAUCACUAACAUGUGUCUCGACAGAGAAAGCAAGGACAUGCUACAUUCUUAAAAAUUAUCUGUUAAAGGGAUCACAUUCCAAGACAGGUUUGAGCAUUUUUAUUACUACCGAUAACCUCUUAAUUAUGUCACUGCCUUCCACUUGUUAAUCAGGGACAUUCAACAUGGUUAACCAGUGAGCUGUUGCCUUUCGUCGACUUCAUUAUUAUUAGGAAUUAAAAACUCAUUCUAUUCCCAUCAUCAUGUUUUUGCAUCUAUGAUUUUAGCACUGCUAGAAACUUACCUGCUUUAAAUACAGAACACCUAAGAAAAGGUCUAGAUGCCCAUAACAAUGUUGUUAAUUACUUCUAGGUGCAGCUCAUGGAAAGCUUUAAGAGAUGGAUAAUUUUACUUUUCCUGUCUUGCCCCCCUCCCCCAGCCCCGCUGCCUCUCCCACAUCUCCCACAAUUCCUAUUUGAACCAAUUUUAGGUUCCUUGUGCAGCCACCAGCGUCUGAGAUACUCAGAGACUUUUUUCAGAGAGCACGGUGUAAGUGGAGUAAAUAAAAUCAUGUUUCACUGUUGCUUUAUCAACCCUCCUAGGUAGUUUUCCUGCCAGCCAACCUGCACUGUUAAGACCCAGAAAAUUAUGCAAUAGUGACUUCUUUGAGGUUCUCUAAUCAGAUGAUGGCCAGUGUUAGGAGGGGAAGGGCCCAAGGCAAUGUUGCUGGCACUUAAUGCUGGGUUUGGUCAUUACUUGUCUGGUAGAGACCAAUAAACAGAUGAUUACUAUCCUAUAAGGAGCCAAUAUUUUACAUUUAUCCUAGUUAUAUCUUUUCUUUUCAACGUCUUAUAACAGAAAGUAUUUGUCAAGAUCUAUGAGGAAUAACCUCACAGGCCCCUUAAAAAUAAGAAUUUUCCUAGCGUGAAAUGAUGCUUUUUGUGCAAUGGUGAGAAUGAUUUUGGUUUUUAUAAGAGCAAAGGUUUGAUUACUUUAAAGUAGUUCUCUUUCAGAUGUGGACAGUCCCAGACCCCGUCCCCCACUCCCAUGUCCCCCUCUCUCCUCUAUGACAGGUUCACAGGCUGCAACCAAGGGGUUUUAAAAUGCAAAUAUUUAUAUUGGAGCUCUGGCAAUAACAGAGUCGUUUUGCUUCCUCUGUUAGCCUGUGAUAAUUGAUGCUUCGUACCUGGAACUACGUUUCAUUUAUCUCUUUACACAUGAAGAUAUUACAUAAAUAAAAGAUAAUUUAUGGAAAGGAAACAGCCAUUUGAAAUAAUAAUCCUAAAUUUGACUGUAUAAUCUUGAAAGGCUUUAAGAGUCAAAGAUGCAGAUUUCUACAGUUUUAAAGAAAACUUGAUCGCACCUGGGAAAUUUGUGCGUUUUUGCACACUUCCUGAAUUUGAAUGCCUGCGUGGAUCAAAAACAAAAAAGAGGGAUAAAAGGAAGGCAGGAGAGAAAAGGUGUGGAUUUCACAUGUGCUUUAAACUAAUGCAUUCGCCCACACGUCCACAGACUUCUUGUUACAAUUUUAUUGACUUUUUCUUUAUAUCCAAAAAUAAUUUCUAAAUAGCUAAUGCAAAUUGCAAAAUAGUGAGUCUUCUGAAGGGCCUUUUCUUCCCGGGGAUCCUCAUCUUAGAAUGAACAGAGGUAUUCCCAGAACCGGACCCUGAUCUCACAACCUCAUACAAAGCCAGGCAAUUCUUGAGCCAAACAAACAAAGGGUGUGGAAGCGAUUUCAUCUAUUUUGAUAAUCCUCCUCUUGCACAGGAGCAUCUUGCUGUCUUUGUCAAAGUGAAUGACAACAAUUUGGCUAACUCUCUCUGAGCUGCGCUCAACAGUGACAGGCAAAUUAUCAGAGGCCCUGCACUUCUUAUUAUCAGAGGAGAAGCCAUCAGGGGGACGCAUGGAGGACACCUCUCCCUUGUCACUAUUUGUCAGUGGGACAAGGGCCACUGCUAUGGGUAGCUGACAGGUAAUUUCAACAAUAACAAUUACUCCUAUUACUGGUGUCAUAAACAAUUCGCCCAAGGCAUGACAAUAGCAAAGCUUUAUAAUUCAAUGCCAUAUAAAUAAAUGCCAGCAGGUAACAAGUAAUUUAGCUCCAAUCAAGCUUUCACCCCGGCAUUAAUAUUGUUAUUGCAAGAAAAUAGAAAAUUGAAAAAACUCGAUAUGUUAAUGAAUUAAGAGAGGUUCAAGGGCUAGACAGAGGGGUUGAAAAAGGGAAACCAAAAUUAUUAUGGGAUCAUAUUUGGUGCCAUCCUGAGGGCCAAAGAGCAGCAUCAUUACUAUUAGAUAAGAAGGGGGACCAGAAAUGCUGUUGCCCUCCACUUCAGACCUGGGAAAAAUGUGACAUGGCCUUUCAAAAUCCCCUUUCUCUGAUUUCUGAAGACUGUAAGUAGAAAUAUGAGAACGUGUCUAUAAUGCAGCAUUUCACUGGUUUUUUUUCUUCCCACCUGAAAUAUUUCAUAUGCAGCAGAGGCAUGAGUAUCAAAGGAACAUUUCCGCCUGUUGAAGAAAAUUGCAUCAGCACCUACUUCCUUUACAUUAAGUCUUGUAACAGAAACUGUUUUAACAAGCCUAUUUUUAUCUUUGGUGAAGGUAAUGCCGAAAACCCCUCUUUACUCUCCAGCUGUCCACCUUUUGGAAGUAGACUAGAGGACACGGUCCAAUCUUCCUCCAUAAAACUUCCCGAUGAAACGAAUGUGCAAUUUCAGUAUUUGUCCAGCAAGACAAUGUGCCAUCAUGGUGACAGCAGUAAAAGAAUUUGAAAAUCUCUAAUUAGGAGAGCUGCGGAGCAAUUAACGCAUGUCAAAUUUUACUUCAUCAAGUGCCACUCUAAUUUUCCUCUAAAAAUUAAUGGAUUUUUUUUUCUUUUGGUAUGUGUGUGUGUCCCCUUAAGGCAAUGUUGAUUCAAAUCUGCUCAAGAUGCAGUGUUGCACAGCUAAGCAUCUUCUUGAUUACAAUCCGCCACCCUUCUAACUGCGCUCAUUCUCACUGCCACGGAUACUUUGUCAACAGUCAAAUUACACCACGCUGAUAACAAUGCAUAAUGGUGUUCCUCCUCUGAGGCCCCUGGCAGGAGAUGGGGUUCAUAAAAAUGUGAUGUUUUCUUCUCAACUGUUUCUGAAGGAAGUUUGUAUGACCAGGUCAUAGUCAGGCGUUAAUUUUUUGAAAUUAAUUUGUUAAUUUCAAGAAAGGGAAGAUAAUGAUAGACUAUGAAAAUACCUCACUGAAAAAAAAUCAGAGGAAGAAUGAGGAAUUGAGAGUAUCUGUGGCCAAAGUUUUGCUUAAACACUUUGUUCGGAGACAUUUUCAAGAGCACUACUCUUGGUAAAAUACCAGAGUUUUUUUUUUUUUUUCUUUACUUAUGAGCUAUAAACAUUGGAAGCCUCUCUUGAACAGACAGUAUUUAGAUUGUGAGAGAAGUUUGUUUAACUGCCAUAUUUGCCAGAAUCUUCAAAACAUCACAGGACACAGAAGAUAAAUGACUUUUUUUUUUCUUUUUUUUUAGGGUCAGGACUGUAUCUUCCAGAUAAAUGUUGAUUCAUUUUAACUAUUUUUUAUCCUACUUGCUUGUUGCCGGUUCGUGUGCUUGUCAUCAGCACAUAUGAGGAUUAUUUCUCACUGGAAAAUGAGAGAAACAGCAAUUAGAUGAUUUUACAUUCGGUGUAAAAUCAUUUAGAGAUCAGUCAGAUUUCAUAUUUCUAAAACAAUCAGAUCCCAAACAAAAAUGGGGAAAUUAAACAAAAUGCUAAAUGAAUCUCUUUGCAGAUUCUUUCAGGGAAUGGAGACCAUUCACAUGGAUUGACGUGCCAAUUUUCUCAUCAUGUAAGUAUAUUUUUGAUCGGUUUCUUUAAUCAGAUUUAUUUAGUAAAAAAAAGAAAAUCUAAAUUCAUGGUGUAUACGCUUCCUUUUUUCUUUUAAUUCACAGGUUGAAUGUGGUCUUUUCAUUUACCUACAACUAACUCAAAAAUCUUACAUUUGAUAUUUUGAGGUUUGUAUUUGCAAAUAUUAAAAAACUCUUCCCUUCCUUAUGGCCCCUCCCCAGCAUGUUCUGAAGUGGUCUCUUUCAGACAAAAGAGAGUGACAUCCCCCUUUCAACUAGCAAAUGUUGGAUUCCCUAAACCAACUGGGGGUAAACUGGAAGUUUUGCAAUUAGAUUCACACAAGCUGAAUAUGUUCAUUAUCCCCAAACAUUCUCCUUCGAACUUUACAAAUGUAACACUACUGAGUUUAGAGUUUCCUGUGGCUUGUUUACAAAUAAAGGUAUCUUGAUAAAAACCAAGCCCUGUGUAUUUCUGAAAAACAAAAAAACCAUGCAACAAUCUCAUAUGAAAACACUACAAAAGGAUUGUGAAGGGAAAUUUAAAAGGAGAAAACUUGAUUAUAUAAUGCAAUCCAGCAGUAAUCAAUUUUACCUUCAAUAUCUUGCUUUUGUUUUCAAAAUGCUAAAUAAACAAUACAUAAUGCAUCCCUCAUCAGCCAAACCAUGGAGGCUCUGUGCUCAAAUAACAGGAAACAUAUUCAAUUUUCCUAACAGAAGACAGUUCAUUAAGCUGUGCCACAUCAAAUAAAACUUUAAUUUCUCCAGCAUCAGAGUCGCAAUGAAAGCAAUUGAAGAAGAUGAGCCAUAUGGUACUUCUAUCAGCAAACACAUAUUGCUCAUUCCCCCAAAGUUUUCUAAUUCUGCUCCCCAGACCUGUGUAAUAUAGAUAAUGUGCUCCGAGAGCAGCAACCAUGAGCUAUCCAGUGUAUGCUUCUAAUACUGUAUUUAAUGGGAAAUAAUGAAUCAUAAAAGCCUGGAGAAGACGGCUUUUGCUAACCUAAAUCUCAGCUGUAAUUUCAUUGUUCUGUGCCUAAGAUGCUGUUCGCCCUUUCCAAACAACAGCAGUUGAACAUAAUUAUGCUGCUUCAAACCUGGGCUUGGAAAAGCAUCCCUAAUAUAACCAAGUUUCUAUUAACUCCUGAAAUCCUGAAUUUAAUGAUGCACUGAUGCAGACAUUGAUAGAACCGAGCAUGUGUCAUUUUAAAACCCAAAUAAGCAUUUUUCUCCUUCUUCUUUUGGUCAGACUGCUCAAUGCAUUUAUGUUCCCUCCUCCACCCCCUUCUCCACCCCCCCACCCCCAUGCAACAGGAGUGGCAUGAUUAAAAAUGAGGAGAUUUUCUUGUUAUUAGCAAAUUUGACAUUUGCCUGAUGAAAUGCACAUAAAAUGUGAAAGCUACACAGUACUCAGAAGAAAUGUCUCUACUCCAGUGCAAGCAACCGAGAUGAAAUAAUUUAGGCAAAGGAAAUGUAAAGACCCUCGUACAUCUCUACCGCAGAAUGCUAGGAUUGUAUUAUAAAUGAAAGAACCAAAUCUUGCCGAGCUUUUAGGGCAAUAGUGUUUUGACACAUGUGAAGUGUAUAGAUAGUGUUUCUUCUCUCACCUUCACCGCUUUGAUUAUUAACCUAAACGUAAUACGUAUGCUCGAACGCAGCAAUUUCCUUCCGUGUCAUGGUCCAGCCUCUCUCUGGCAAGAUCCUGGGGCUGGGGCUUAAUUCCUCUUUAGAGGAAAAAUGUUCCUUUUUCCCCCAAAUAGGUCGAUGAUUUUAGCUCUUCCAUUUUUAAAGCUCAUCAAAUCAAUAUUUUACCAACACAAUGCUAAUUUAAAACACUAUCAAAUAACACUGCGGAUACAUAUUGAAAACAUAUUUUAAUGGUUUUGUUUGUUUUGGCAUCGUAUGAACCAAGGACGAUUAAAUUAAAAAGAGACUUUUAAAAGUUAGAGAUUGCCUUUUGAAAGCUUAUUAAAAUCAGCAUGUUCCAUGCCUGUCUCUGAAUUAGCUCUACACACUUGAUUGCCAUCAUUAAAACGAGUUGUUUGGGUGCUGCUCCGUGAUGGUUCAAACCCUUCCUCAAAGCCGAUUCUUACUAGUUAUUAACUUGAAAUCUCUUUCCAUUGAAAUAAAAAAAAAAAAAAGUCAUUCUAGCCAGUGGAGGGAACAGUCAC